AGGCAGUGCAGAAGAACAGUGCUUUAUUUGCAGGGCCUGAAUUUAAUAAAUGAAAACAUUUGGGCUGACCUCAGCACUGCUUACCCAAACAAGCAAGGGGCUGAGUUAAUCUUCCAUAAAGAGUACAAAUUUAUAGAAUAUCUUGAGGGUGGUAUUUAACUUUUGUCUGCAGUUUCAAGUCCUAGGGGGAUCUUCAGAGAAGUUUAUAAGCACUUGAGAAGAUACAUCCCGCCUCUGUAAACUUGACCUCUUCCAAACUUUGGACUGCCUUUGCUGCUGUACUGGUAUAAGCACAGGUCUUCAUUUGACUCCUGCCCUUAUCCCUAAAUCUUUCUCCUCCAGUUAAUUAGAGACUUUUUUCUGAAGGUCUCAGUGCCCGGUUUCUGGUGAUGGUUAGAGCUAUUCUGCCGAAGAUAGCUAUGUGCUGCAGACUCAGCUACUGGGCUCUGGGAUUCUCAAAGUGUCUUCAAGUUCUUGUCCAAGGGCAUUUUUAACUGUCCUGCGUCUUUAGGUCCUGAUCAGCUCUGAUGAAAUCCCAGCAAGAUUCAUUUUACUGAGGAAAUGCAACCACAAUCUCUCCAGCACUUGCAUCAUUGAGUGGCUGUAGUGCUCAGCAGCACCAGCAUCUUGAGGAGGCAGCAGCUGUGAGCAGCCAGCAUGUGGGAUGUGGAGCCAGGGACCCCUGUCUUGAGGGGCCGGAUCGGCGCUCCACCCUGGGGCCAGUGCCUCUGGGACAAGAAGGAUGUAGCAGUGAAAACUGUCCCGUCAGAACCAGUGGCACCAGUACAGCCCAACCAUGUCUUCGGAGAGCUACCAGCCAUCGGUGUAAGGGUGAAGAAGCAGAAGAAAAAGCAUGGAUGUGCUCAUGUGUAAAGACUUUUUGCCAAAGAUCUGGGCAACGUCUUUGUGCUUCUGGGCUCUUCAGAGCGAAGGUGAAGAGGAGGCACCGCAGUGACACACAUGCCUUCAGAGACCAAAAUGCAGCUUGCACGCUCUGUGUUGUGCACGUGGUUGUCUUUGACCACCUCGCAGGGCUCUGUCAGAGGGGCCAGCACAAGCUCGUGUCAUCUGUGGAUGCAGCGUGCCAUAGCCAGAGAAUUUGGUGUGAAGACCUCGCCAGCCCACAGAGGUGCCCAUGGUGGGAUUUUUGUUCCCUUCCAGCAGGACAAGCACCUGGGAUUCCUGGAUGCAUAGCUCUGUAUAUCUGUCUGCUUGCUACACCUUCCAGAAGUGCUCUUUGUACUAUACUGAUAUUGUUUAUGUUGAAUAAAUGCUUU